UUUGGAUGGAGGACAGGUCACACUCAAAAAUGUAACAAUGGUGAAAUUCUUGUGUACAAGACUCUGUUCCAUGGCAGUGCAAGCAACAAGAUAUGAAAAAUACAAUCAUCUGACAUUGAAUCGAGUGAAGUCUGGGAGCCAGUCAGCAAAAAGCCAUAUACUGAGGGACAUGAUGACAGCACCUCUGAAAAAAAUAGUAAAAACCACUACAUAAUGUGUUUAUGCUUCAGUUACUAUUUGUCAGCAAUUAUUGACAGUGAAUCUGGAUAAGAAAUUGAAUAGGUCUAAGUGUAAGCUUUCAUUAGA